UCUCCAUAAAAAUAAAAAUAAAAUCAAACGAAAUCCAAUACCUUCCACCUCAAGCUUUUACGUCAAGUUCACCACAUAUGUUGUAUUACGUGCUUUUUUGCUCGAGAACGCGUCGGGCGUCUGGCUGUAGAAGGUAGCAUGGAAAUUCACUAAUAUUCAAGCAGUGUAUUGGUUUUUUACUGUUGGAAUAUAAAUGACUACAAGAAUAUAUCAUAAAUCUAUACGGAUGUCCUUCAACUGCUCACCAAAAUCUUUUUUGUCCCAGCCGGUAGGUCUCUAGAUGUUACAAAGAAUCCUAAACAACCCAAUCUGCUAAUCUCCGAUAUUGCUUUAUACUCAUGACCUUGUAUCCACUGACUGUCUUGUUAGAUUAAACCAAAAAUUUUCAUUCACUCCACAUACUCAAUCCUAUAGACACCCUUUUAAUUCUUCAAUCACAGAUGUAACUUUGAUUUCACAAAACAGUCAAGAGUAAUCACACCUACUUCAUUAAAACCUCGAUUCACCAGUACAACACAUCGACCUUUCAGCAUUGAUUGCCAGAAGUCUUCUCAAAAUCCUAUGAAGAAAAAAAAAAACUCCAAUUCCCUCCUUUUUUCUCCCCCGAAGCAUGAAGCUAGCUCUUCGACCCUUAAAAUCCUAAUUCUCCCCUCUUUCAUUUCUUAACCUAUCC
rnacentral:lncRNA from 1 species